UACGUAGGGUGCGAGCGUUAAUCGGAAUUACUGGGCGUAAAGUGUGCGCAGGUGGCCGCGCAAGUCGAGUGUGAAAUCCCCGAGCUUAACUUGGGAAUUGCGCUCGAAACUACGUGGCUCGAGUGUGGCAGAGGAAGGUGGAAUUCCACGUGUAGCGGUGAAAUGCGUAGAGAUGUGGAGGAACACCGAUGGCGAAGGCAGCCUUCUGGGCCAACACUGACGCUCAUGCACGAAAGCGUGGGGAGCGAACAGG
rnacentral:rRNA from 1 species